GAUGAACGCUAGCGGCAGGCUUAAUACAUGCAAGUCGAGGGGCAGCGCAGUGUAGCAAUACAUGGGCGGCGACCGGCAAACGGGUGCGGAACACGUACGCAACCUUCCUUUAAGUGGGGGAUAGCCCAGGGAAACUUGGAUUAAUACCCCGUAAUAUUAUGAAGUGGCAUCACUUUAUACUUAUAGCUCCGGCGCUUAAAGAUGGGCGUGCGACUGCUUAGGUAGUUGGCGGGGUAACGGCCCACCAAGCCUGCGAUCAGUAACUGGUGUGAGAGCACGACCAGUCACACGGGCACUGAGACACGGGCCCGACUCCUACGGGAGGCGGCAGUAAGGAAUAUUGGUCAAUGGACGCAAGUCUGAACCAGCCAUGCCGCGUGGAGGAUGAAGGUCCUCUGGAUUGUAAACUUCUUUUAUUUGGGAAGAAACCCACUGUUUCUACGGUGGUUGACGGUACCAGAUGAAUAAGCACCGGCUAACUCCGUGCUAGCCGCCGCCGUAA
rnacentral:rRNA from 1 species